rnacentral:rRNA from 1 species
UACGUAGGGGGCUAGCGUUGUCCGGAAUCAUUGGCGUAAAGCGCGCGUAGGCGGCCCGGUAAGUCCGCUGUGAAAGUCAAAGGCUCAACCUUUGAAUGUCAGCGGAUACUGCCGGGCUAGAGUCCGGAAGAGGCGACUGGGAAUUCCUGGUGUAGCGGUGAAAUGCGCAGAUAUCAGGAGGAACACCAACGGCGAAGGCAGCUCGCUACGACGGUACUGACGCUAAGGCGCGAAAGCGUGGGGAGCGAACGAGGA